rnacentral:rRNA from 1 species
AGAGUUUGAUCAUGGCUCAGGAUGAACGCUAGCUACAGGCUUAACACAUGCAAGUCGAGGGGCAGCAUGGUCUUAGCUUGCUAAGACCGAUGGCGACCGGCGCACGGGUGAGUAACGCGUAUCCAACCUGCCUUACACUCUUGGACAGCCUUCUGAAAGGGAGAUUAAUACAAGAUGUUAUCAUGAGUAAGCAUUUUCACAUGAUUAAAGGUUUACCGGUGUAAGAUGGGGAUGCGUUCCAUUAGAUAGUAGGCGGGGUAACGGCCACCUAGUCGACGAUCAGUAGGGGUUCUGAGAGGAAGGUCCCCCANAUUGGAACUGAGACACGGUCCAAACUCCUACGGGAGGCA